rnacentral:lncRNA from 1 species
AAUGUCACUCGAGCAGGAUUUCACCCGGCGUGUGUUUAAUGCGGGAGAGCUUCAGACUACCAGAAGACUGCACUACGCUCCGCACAAUCAGGAAUUAGCAUAGGAACGCUGAAGAACCACACGUCUGCUGCGUCUCUCUACAGAAGAACUCCUUCAGAGGAGCGAUCUGGGCAUGAGGGUAACACCGCUACACUUGUUUAACAAUGGAAGUAUGGGGAUAAACAUUAAAACAGAUGUGGUUUACGGUUACAGUAGUUCAGCAUUUACACAAAUUAUUAUAAAAACAGAUGAAUGCAAAGUUAUAUUUAGAAAUGUCCUGGCUCUCCCAAGCUUUAUAAUGAAAGUGAAUGGCUGCUGAGAUUUUGAAGGACAAUAAAGUGCAUCUAUCCAUCAUAAAAAGCACUCCACAUAGCUCUAGGGGGUUAAUAAAGACCGUCUGAAGUGAAUCAAUCCUUGGUGUAAGACAAAUAUCCAUAUUUAUAAACUUUAUAAACUGUAACUUCCAGUCUCUGCUAACUGUUGUAUGAGAGAUUACAGUUUAUACAAGAUAUAAAUAUGAUAUAUUCUUACACAGACGCAUCAGUUCGCUUCAGAGGUUCUUUAUUAAGAUAUGUAAUAAACAAACAAUCAAGUUUAAAGUGAGAUUAAAGACAUACAUAAUUACAUUAUUUUUAAAGGCCUAUUUUCAUGACAAGAAUGGGGUAAAAUCCAUAAAAAAUAGAGUUAAUAAACACGUAAAAGGAGAUUGAUGACGGACACACCAGAAAUCAUAAAUCAGAUUAGUUUACAUAUCGGAAAAUAUUAUCAUUAGCUGCUGACAAAUUAAAUGAAAGGUGGAAAAGAUAAAUAAAUUUAUAUUUAAAUUUAAAUUUAUAUUUAUUUAUCAUGACAAGAACAGGGUCAUACGUGUCGGUUUCUAAAAACUUUAAAAUGAGUGAGUUUGUCAUUGCACUGUUUGCUGAUGUUGUGUGUUUUUCCGUUUUCCAUUUAGAGUCACUGAAUCAAACUUGAGCUUGAAUUUUGUUCCAAGAAUAGGAUAGAUCUAAUAAGUUUGAUUUACUGAGGUACACAUACGCUCUUGAUCUGUCUCUUAGCAGUGGGUGUAGAAAUGGUCUUUAGUUCUAGAUUUGUGUUUAGACAUUAAGAGCAAACUUACUCAGAAACAUCAGCAGAUCUCCAGAGACAGAGUGAUCCAUGAGCAGAUCCUGCAGAGCAGAAGAGAGAAUGAACAGCUGACAAACACCAGAUCACUGAUUCAUGAGAACCGAACACACGACUCAACUGAAUCAUUCCCAGUGAAUCAACUCUACACACGUCACCCCUGACCUUUUUACACAGUCUAUCACUCUGUAUAGAUCAAUACAAUCGUACAAUAACAAUUACUCAAAUAUUUAUUACAAUAU